rnacentral:lncRNA from 1 species
GUAUCAGUUGUCAGUGUCAGGUGUCAUUUUGGAAAGUCGAUUCGGCAUCGGACGAUAUGAUUUUGACAAGUAGAUUUAUGCCACAUGUUCAAAUAUUAUUGGGUCAGAGUUGUUUAUUAGGAUAGAGGUGAUGUGGCUUGAUCUGGGGCAGAUGCGUCGAACCGUCCGAUCAAUGGUCGGUCUAGAUUUGACCGCCUUCAUCUUGGCUGUUGGAAAAUCCUAUAUAUAUAGGGGCGCUCUUAGCUAAAUUUUUACUUUUCGUUGUCUUUGGUGUCGGAACUCUGC